CGAGUGGAGGAAUCCUAGGGUGUGCCUGGAGGUGGCGGAGUGUACCGACGCGGGUGUGAGCGCGUGUGCCAGCGAGGGUGGGCACGGGGGUGAGCGUGGCAAGGGCAGCAGCACCUGCUUGAGACCAAGCCCGGCGACCUGGCAAGGUGGGGCCCCCUACCGCGCAAUCUUUGCGGCUGGCCCCCGGCUCUCAGCUCCGAGUGCAGAGGCUGAAGAGGUACCCGGGGGACACACUGCCUCUAACCCCACCUAUGAGCCGCUCUCCUCUCGGAGGACGAAGGCACCAUCAGAAGGUCGAGAUUCGCCCUCCUCUCCCGCCACGUCUACCCACUACCUAGACCGGGAGUCUGGACUUGGGAGCGUGAACUCUCACCCGAGCCGGUCCCCUUACAACUGGAGCCCGCCCAGCCCCUCAGUCCCUCCCUGAAGCCCAUGGGUCCCCACUGCUCCGUGCCUCGUCGACCCAGGAUGGGGAGUGGGAAGGUCAGCAUGUGCCCACAGGGCCAGGUGUCCGGCCCAGAUUCCCACCCUCAGGGCGGCGGCGCGCAAAGGGCGCAGUCCCCGCCGCUGGGCGGACCCGCGGCUCCGGCUUUCCCGGUGUCUCCAGCCUCGGUGCCCGGAAUCCUGGAUCUCGGCCUGGCGCUCCGGAAGCGAGGCAGCUCCGUGCCCCAGCAGGGACGGGGAACGCUUGGCUUGAGAGAUCACAUUU
rnacentral:lncRNA from 1 species